rnacentral:rRNA from 1 species
CCUACGGGAGACAGCAGUGGGGAAUAUUGGACAAUGGGGGGAACCCUGAUCCAGCGACGUCGCGUGAGUGAAGAAGUAUUUCGGUAUGUAAAGCUCUAUCAGCAGGGAAGAAAGAAAUGACGGUACCUGACUAAGAAGCCCCGGCUAACUACGUGCCAGCAGCCGCGGUAAUACGUAGGGGGCAAUCGUUAUCCGGAUUUACUGGGUGUAAAGGGAGCGUAGACGGCGAUGCAAGUCUGAAGUGAAAGGCGGGGGCCCAACCUCCGGACUGCUUUGGAAACUGUAUGGCUGGAGUGCAGGGGAGGUAAGUGGAAUUCCUAGUGUAGCGGUGAAAUGCGUAGAUAUUAGGAGGAACACCAGUGGCGAAGGCGGCUUACUGGACUGUAACUGACGUUGAGGCUCGAAAGCGUGGGGAGCAAACAGGAUUAGAUACCCUGGUAGUC